rnacentral:rRNA from 1 species
UACAGAGGGUGCGAGCGUUAAUCGGAAUUACUGGGCGUAAAGGGCGCGUAGGCGGUUGGAUGAGUGUGAUGUGAAAGCCCCGGGCUUAACCUGGGAAGUGCAUCGCAAACGAUCUAACUGGAGUAGAUGAGAGGGUGGCGGAAUUUCCGGUGUAGCGGUGAAAUGCGUAGAGAUCGGAAGGAACGUCAAUGGCGAAGGCAGCCACCUGGCAUCAUACUGACGCUGAGGCGCGAAAGCGUGGGGAGCGAACAGGAUUAGAUACCCUGGUAGUCCACGCUGUAAACGAUGAGGACUAAAUGUUGUUAGGGGAACCUAGCAGUAUUGAAGCAAACGCGAUAAGUCUUCCGCCUGGGAAGUACGGCCGCAAGGUUGAA